AUUGAACGCUGGCGGCAUGCUUUACACAUGCAAGUCGAACGGCAGCACGGGUGCUUGCACCUGGUGGCGAGUGGCGGGCGGGUGAGUAAUGCAUCGGAACGUAUCCAAUAAUGGGGGAUAACGCAUCGAAAGGUGUGCUAAUACCGCAUACGCCCUGAGGGGGAAAGUGGGGGAUCGUAAGACCUCACGUUGAUGGAGCGGCCGAUGUCAGAUUAGCUAGUUGGUGAGGUAAAGGCUCACCAAGGCGACGAUCUGUAGCUGGUCUGAGAGGACGACCAGCCACACUGGAACUGAGACACGGUCCAGACUCCUACGGGAGGCAGCAGUGGGGAAUUUUGGACAAUGGGCGCAAGCCUGAUCCAGCCAUGCCGCGUGAGUGAAGAAGGCCUUCGGGUUGUAAAGCUCUUUCGCAAGGGAAGAAACGAUUCAGGAUAAUACCCUGGGUUAAUGACGGUACCUUGAUAAGAAGCACCGGCUAACUACGUGCCAGCCGCCGCAGUAA
rnacentral:rRNA from 1 species